rnacentral:rRNA from 1 species
GAUGAACGCUGGCGGCGUGCCUAAUACAUGCAAGUCGAGCGAACAGACGAGGAGCUUGCUCCUCUGACGUUAGCGGCGGACGGGUGAGUAACACGUGGAUAACCUACCUAUAAGACUGGGAUAACUUCGGGAAACCGGAGCUAAUACCGGAUAAUAUAUUGAACCGCAUGGUUCAAUAGUGAAAGACGGUUUUGCUGUCACUUAUAGAUGGAUCCGCGCCGCAUUAGCUAGUUGGUAAGGAACGGCUUACCAAGGCGACGAUGCAUAGCCGACCUGAGAGGGUGAUCGGCCACACUGGAACUGAGACACGGUCCAGACUCCUACGGGAGGCAGCAGUAGGGAAUCUUCCGCAAUGGGCGAAAGCCUGACGGAGCAACGCCGCGUGAGUGAUGAAGGUCUUCGGAUCGUAAAACUCUGUUAUUAGGGAAGAACAAAUGUGUAAGUAACUAUGCACGUCUUGACGGUACCUAAUCAGAAAGCCACGGCUAACUACGU